rnacentral:rRNA from 1 species
GACGAACGCUGGCGGCGUGCCUAAUACAUGCAAGUCGAGCGGGGAUUAUGCUUGAUCGCUUCGGUGAGACGGCAUAUAUCCUAGCGGCGGACGGGUGAGUAACGCGUGGGUAAUCUACCUCGUAGUUCGGGAUAACAGGCCGAAAGGCUUGCUAAUACCGGAUGAGUUCAUGCUUAUGCAUAUAGGCAUGAAGAAAGGGCUAGCCCGCUAUGAGAUGAGCCCGCGUCCCAUUAGCUUGUUGGUGGGGUAACGGCCUACCAAGGCAACGAUGGGUAGCCGGCCUGAGAGGGUGUACGGCCACACUGGGACUGAGACACGGCCCAGACUCCUACGGGGGCAGCAGUAGGGAAUUUUCGGCAAUGGGCGAAAGCCUGACCGAGCGACGCCGCGUGAGGGACGAAGGCCUUCGGGUUGUAAAGCUCUGUCCUAGGGGAAGAUAAUGACGGUACCCGUAGGAGGAAGCCCCGGCUAACUACGUGCCAGCAGCCGCGGUAAAGUACUCU